rnacentral:ribozyme from 1 species
CACAGUGCUCUUCUAGUGAGGUAGGAUCCGAGACUAAGGGCUUUUAGAGGAUCUCCUACUCAACUCAUAUUUCGCCACGUCCAAGUCGUGGUAGAGUGGUAACUUUCCCCGCUGAAUAUACGAGCUUUAGUACACGAACCAUCUCUUCGGGCGGAUGGUGGAGUAUGACCGAACAGAAAACG